GACGUGCGUGUGUGUGGAGAGUGGCUGUGAAAGUGGCACGGGCUCUGGGAAGAGAAGUAAGGAGGACUGCUGGGAAGGAAACCAGGUUCUCGGAUGAGCAGGGGCUGUGAUAUGAAAGUGAUCAAGAGAUGGGACCAUCUAGUUGCAAGAGAACAAGCUCAGGGCUCCCACUGAUUCUACAUGAUGUAUUUGUCUUCACUUUCAAAGAGCGUAAAGUGAAAGAAAGGAGGAAGUCCACACCCUUGGGUUUGGGGGCAUCGGAUCCAGUGUGCAAUGUGAGAAGUAAAAUGAAGAGGAGAAAUGAUCUGGAGAGACUUUCUGAUGAAGCAAACACCAGAUAUCCUAGAAUUUCAGCAAAUCUAAGACUCCAUCAAGUGUUAGAUGCCCCAUUAUUUUAUGUAUUAUUAAUAAAGAAAAAAACACUGCCA